UACGUAGGCAGCAAGCGUUGUUCGGAAUUACUGGGCGUAAAGCGUGUGUAGGCGGUUGGGUAAGUCUGGUGUGAAAUCUCCCGGCUCAACUGGGAGGGUGCGCCGGAAACUGCCUGGCUAGAGUGCGGAAGAGGAGAGUGGAAUUCCCGGUGUAGCGGUGAAAUGCGUAGAUAUCGUUUGGAACGCCAAUGGUGAAAACAGGUUGCUGGGAGUGCGCUGACGCUGAGACACGAAAGCCAGGGGAGCAAACGGG
rnacentral:rRNA from 1 species